AUCAGCACUGUGCUGUUGCUGUCUCUCACAUAUGCCUUCAGAGGCCUGGGAUGGCAUAGCACAUUGGCAGAAGUAUCUGGCCCCCCUGGUGAUCCACAGACGCGGCUGUAUGAGGCUUCCGGCAUCUGCAAUUGCCAGGCAACGGAGUGACGUCACCAGACAUGACUCGAUCCCCGGAGCUGCUCGGAUGUCCUGCCCACGGCCUGCGGACGGAAGCCAGCACGAUGGGCCUCUUUCAGAUACAUUUAUAAGAAGGAGGCAUUCUGUUUACAGGAAGAACUGUGCUAAAAUGACCAGUAAAUGCCUGACGCACAUGAUGAAGAGUAUACAGUUCUUCUCUAAAACUCUGUCUAUUGAUUUUGUGAUUGCCCUAGUAAAAUACACUGGACUUAUUGGUCAGUCACAUCCUUCUACAUCCCCACUCAAGUAGGACUAUUAAAACCUGACCUACUGCAUUAAACCAUAAAUAACCUCUAAUGCAAA